rnacentral:lncRNA from 1 species
UGUGAAACAGUUGAAAACGAUAUGCUCUCAGAGGUUCGAGAUCUCCAGCUACAAGUUCUGAUAGGGGUGAGGCAGUUGCAUUCAGGCUUCCUGUUCACUGUCCAUUAUAUAAGUAACCGCAGAUUAUUGUUAGCCCUUAUUAUCUGUCUUUCCUCCAACUGUGACCACCGGAAAGAAGGUGAAGAAACCCUGGCACAUCCUGUUUGUGCAGCUGAUUGAAUUAAUUUUCUUAGUCAAGUCCUGAGUCUCUGAAGAGAAUCAGAGACUCUUGUAAGAAUUCCCACCUGCAACCAGUACUUGCAUCCGGAGGCAGAGGUAGAGCGAGAUGAGGCUGCCAUGAUAGCUGGAGAGACUUGCUGCCUCCUCAGGCUCCCGGCUCCACCUACCUUCUACAUGCUGAUGACUCACUCCAAAGUGUACAUCUUCUGUCCAUAAUUUCUGGGGAUCCAGUGGCGGCAACCUGCUUCUAGAGGGACCAGGAGCUUCGGGACCCCUCUGCCUUGGACCAACAGGAAAAGCAGGAAAGUCAGGGGCCAGAGAAACAUGUGAAAUGACACCAAGGAGAUGGAUGCAACUAACCAAAUCCAGAAUAUGGGCAAGAAGACCAGGCAAGGAUCCGGUUUCCUCAAUAAACCAACUGAAAAGAAAACAAAAAGGGCAGUGAUAUAGAUUAAAAGAAAUUUAAGAGACGUAUCAAACAAAUUCUUUGCUA